GGGAUAACACCUGGAAACAGAUGCUAAUACCGGAUAACAACACUAGACGCAUGUCUAGAGUUUGAAAGAUGGUUCUGCUAUCACUCUUGGAUGGACCUGCGGUGCAUUAGCUAGUUGGUAAGGUAACGGCUUACCAAGGCAAUGAUGCAUAGCCGAGUUGAGAGACUGAUCGGCCACAUUGGGACUGAGACACGGCCCAAACUCCUACGGGAGGCAGCAGUAGGGAAUCUUCCACAAUGGACGAAAGUCUGAUGGAGCAACGCCGCGUGAGUGAAGAAGGGUUUCGGCUCGUAAAGCUCUGUUGGUAGUGAAGAAAGAUAGAGGUAGUAACUGGCCUUUAUUUGACGGUAAUUACUUAGAAAGUCACGGCUAACUACGUGCCAGCAGCCGCGGUAAUACGUAGGUGGCAAGCGUUGUCCGGAUUUAUUGGGCGUAAAGCGAGUGCAGGCGGUUCAAUAAGUCUGAUGUGAAAGCCUUCGGCUCACCCGGAGAAUUGCAUCAGAAACUGUUGAACUUGAGUGCAGAAGAGGAGAGUGGAACUCCAUGUGUAGCGGUGGAAUGCG
rnacentral:rRNA from 1 species